UGCCUGAAGGUUUCUUCAAGUCACGCUGAGAAGGCAAGGGAAAGUCCAGUUGGAAUUUCUCUCUUGCAGAACUUGGAAUCAAAUGAGCUUAUCAUUUGAGAGCAGAGGAGAUCCUCAGCACUGUAUUACAGCUCCAGUUCUCGAGCCAGAUUGCCAGGUUUAUGCAGGAUCAUAAUAUACAAAACAGAAGAAAGGAAAUGGUUUGCUCCGCAUCAUGUGACAAGUCAUCUCACAGCAUCAGGUGCAGCCCUUAGCCUGGGGCAGGUACUGGAACAGACUGUAUAUCCGUCCAUCCUCACUAGACAGCGCUCCACCCUUCUCCAUCUUCAUCACCCUUGA
rnacentral:lncRNA from 1 species